rnacentral:lncRNA from 1 species
GCCACAAUUGCAUAUUCGAAUUCAAAUUUUGAAUCUCAAAAGUCUUUGGAAAGAUUCUUUAUUUCAUUUUAAACCCUAGGGUUUACACCCAUAUGAGCUUUGGAUUUUCAAACCAAUAGGUUUUAUGUAUAAAAGGGGCUUAAUGCACAUAUAAGCCAUCCCAUAAUUUUUGGUUAGUUAUUUGGAGUUGAAAAAGUAUUUUAUUUAAAUGGAUAUAUAGCCCUAAAGGCAUUUAUAGGGCAAAUGUAUUUUUCUAUAUUUUAUUUUGAGGGGAAAAUACUCCCAAAAGUUGUAUCAUGGUGGAACAUGAUUUUACAAAUUUUCUGGGAUUUAUUUGGACCAAUUUGGAGUUCAAAAUCAAAAGUUAUCAAAGAAAUAGGAAAAGGGAAAAAGAAAAGAAAAAAAAGGGUGAACCGGACCGGUCCGACCGCUUGGGCCGAACCGGCCGAACCAGCCCGACCGACCGAGCCGCCCGCGCGCGCGCGCCCG